ACAUGCGCAGAAUGCUAAUGAUGCAAAACAAAACAAAAACAAAAAAACAAGAAAAACGAGGAACUUGGGACAUCGAUGUAUCUGU
rnacentral:ribozyme from 1 species